CCUACGGGGGGCAGCAGUGGGGAAUAUUGGACAAUGGGCGAAAGCCUGAUCCAGCCAUGCCGCGUGUGUGAAGAAGGCCUUCGGGUUGUAAAGCACUUUCAGUGGGGAAGAAAGCCUUGGGGCUAAUACCCUCGAGGAAGGACAUCACCCACAGAAGAAGCACCGGCUAACUCCGUGCCAGCAGCCGCGGUAAUACGGAGGGUGCGAGCGUUAAUCGGAAUUACUGGGCGUAAAGCGCGCGUAGGCGGUCUGAUAAGCCGGUUGUGAAAGCCCCGGGCUCAACCUGGGAACGGCAUCCGGAACUGUCAGGCUAGAGUGCAGGAGAGGAAGGUAGAAUUCCCGGUGUAGCGGUGAAAUGCGUAGAGAUCGGGAGGAAUACCAGUGGCGAAGGCGGCCUUCUGGACUGACACUGACGCUGAGGUGCGAAAGCGUGGGUAGCAAACAGGAUUACAUACCCGGGUAGUC
rnacentral:rRNA from 1 species